rnacentral:rRNA from 1 species
CCUACGGGUGGCUGCAGUGGGGAAUAUUGGGCAAUGGGCGCAAGCCUGACGCAGCAACGCCGCGUGAAGGAAGAAGGCUUUCGGGUUGUAAACUUCUUUUCUCAGGGACGAAACAAGUGACGGUACCUGAGGAAUAAGCCACGGCUACCUACGUGCCAGCAGCCGCGGUAAUACGUAGGUGGCAAGCGUUAUUCGGAUUUACUGGGUGUAAAGGGCGUGUAGGCGGGGACGUAAGGCAGAUGUGAAAACGCCGGGCUCAACCUGUGGCCUGCAUUUGAAACUGUGUUUCUUGAGUACUGGAGAGGCAGACGGAAUACGUGGUGUAGCGGUGAAAUGCGUAGAUAUUAGGAGGAACACUCGUGGCGAAGGCGGUCUGCUGGACAGCAACUGACGCUGAGGCGCGAAAGCGUGGGGAGCAAACAGGAUUAGAUACCCCGGUAGUC